rnacentral:rRNA from 1 species
UAACACGUGAGCAACCUGCCCCCAACUCUGGGAUAACUCCGGGAAACCGGAGCUAAUACCGGAUAUGAAGCACUCGGGCAUCCGAUGUGCUUGGAAAGAUUUAUCGGUUGGGGAUGGGCUCGCGGCCUAUCAGCUUGUUGGUGGGGGUUAAACGGGCCCACCCAAGGCGACGACGGGGUAGCCGGCCUGAGAGGGCGACCGGCCACACUGGGACUGAGACACGGCCCAGACUCCUACGGGAGGCAGCAGUGGGGAAUAUUGCGCAAUGGGCGAAAGCCUGACGCAGCGACGCCGCGUGAGGGACGAAGGCCUUCGGGUUGUAAACCUCUUUCAGCAGGGAAGAAGCGAAAGUGACGGUACCUGCAGAAGAAGCACCGGCUAACUACGUGCCAGCAGCCGCGGUAAUACGUAGGGUGCAAGCGUUGUCCGGAAUUAUUGGGCGUAAAGAGCUCGUAGGCGGUCUGUCGCGUCUGCUGUGAAAACUCGGGGCUUAACCCCGGGCCUGCAGUGGGUACGGGCAGACUAGAGUGCGGUAGGGGAG